GUGAAUCACCGCUUGAGCCUUCGCCUCGGCAAGGCUCUCGCAACUCACAUCCAUAACACCUGUGAACCGUAAGGAGUCGUCCCGUCGCAAGACGAGGCCUCCUGCCCCUUUUUCAUAAACAAUCAGUAGUAACAAAAGUAGUAUUAUUAUAACCUAAUA
rnacentral:misc_RNA from 1 species